rnacentral:rRNA from 1 species
GAUGAACGCUAGCGGCAGGCUUAACACAUGCAAGUCGAGGGGUAUAGUUCUUCGGAGCUAGAGACCGGCGCACGGGUGCGUAACGCGUAUGCAAUCUACCUUUUGCAGAGGGAUAGCCCAGAGAAAUUUGGAUUAAUACCUCAUGGUAUGUGAGAAUGGCAUCAUUUUCACAUUAAAGUCACAACGGCAAAAGAUGAGCAUGCGUCCCAUUAGCUAGUUGGUAAGGUAACGGCUUACCAAGGCAACGAUGGGUAGGGGUCCUGAGAGGGAGAGCCCCCACACUGGUACUGAGACACGGACCAGACUCCUACGGGAGGCAGCGGUGAGGAAUAUUGGACAAUGGGCGCAAGCCUGAUCCAGCCAUGCCGCGUGCAGGAUGACGGUCCUAUGGAUUGUAAACUGCUUUUGUACAGGAAGAAACACUGGUUCGUGAACCAGCUUGACGGUACUGUAAGAAUAAGGAUCGGCUAACUCCGUGCCAGCAGCCGCCAUAACAC